CUAGAUCAGCAGUCGCCAGCCUUUUGGACCUUGCGGAUCACCAGUGGUUUGCGGACCACCAGUUGGUGACUGCUUCUUUAGAU
rnacentral:pre_miRNA from 1 species